GUUGAAAUACCGGCCCUCGUCCGAUCACCUAAAUUAAGCAACGCCGAACCUUGUCAGUACCUAGAUGGGUGACCUCUUGGGAAUACCAGGUGCCGUU